CCCACCAUGCAUAUUUACUCGGGCGAUUCCGAAUAUAAGCCACCUCUAAUGUAAGCCCCUCGACAGGUAUUUAUUAAUGCGUGUACAGUACAUGUAUCAGCCACCUUGGCAUUGACCAAAAUUAUGCCCUGACAAUUAAACAAUUUUAAAUUGAUUGAUGACAUGUUUGAGAGCAGCUUCAGUGGUGGUGUCCCCAGUAUUGGAGUAGAGCCCAACAUUUCAGUUAGACAUUAUUUGUGAACCUUAGAUCAGUUGUGAUAUAUUGUAAUGUAAAAUGAAACUUUGGGAGUUAAGAAACACAAUUAAUGCAUUAAUGGACAAGGCUGUCCCCUUGAGAAGUAAAAUUGCCUGCCAUUAGAUGGUCUGAAAGUAAAAUAACAAGCUUGGGUGCAUGGCAGCCUAAUGGGUUCACUUAAUACAUGUAGUUGGCUGCAAUUACCUGUUGUAGGCUUUAAAGUUGGUUUCAAACUAGGGCUUGUAAAUGCCAGAACUCAUAGGUGAAAAAUUGCACGAGUCAAUUUAUUUGACAUACCAUAAUGAACCCAUUAGGUUGCAUUGCAUCCUACUUUAUUAUGUUACUUUGUCUAAGUGUCUAACACUGACAAUUUUACUCGUCAACAGGAGAGUGCUGG